GGGGCCAUAGCUCAGCUGGGAGAGCGCUACGCUGGCAGCGUAGAGGUCAGGGGUUCGAGCCCCCCUUGGCUCCA
rnacentral:tRNA from 1 species